GGAGGUGCCGGGGCGGGAGGGGAGCGAGGCGUGCGCUGGUGCGCAGGCGCAGUGGCCGGACGACGGACCUUGUGUUUCCAAAAUGGCGGCAGCGAUGGAUGUGGAUACCCCGAGCGGCACCAACAGCGGCGCGGGCAAGAAGCGCUUUGAAGUGAAAAAGUGGAAUGCAGUAGCCCUCUGGGCCUGGGAUAUUGUGGUUGAUAACUGUGCCAUCUGCAGGAACCACAUUAUGGAUCUUUGCAUAGAAUGUCAAGCUAACCAGGCGUCUGCUACUUCUGAAGAGUGCACUGUUGCAUGGGGAGUCUGUAACGUAAGGAAACAUCUUUCCCUAUCAGCAUGGCUUGUAAACAUAUUACCACUUUUCCUGCUUUGCCAGUCUUGAAAAUAACUAGGAAAAAAAAUGCCUAGCCCACCUUUCUCCCAAAAGCAUGCUUUUCACUUCCACUGCAUCUCUCGCUGGCUCAAAACACGGCAGGUGUGUCCGUUGGACAACAGAGAGUGGGAAUUCCAAAAGUAUGGGCACUAGAAAGAGAAUUCUUCCAUCGAGCUCAACUGUUCUGUUAUUCAUUUAAUGACUUGCCCUCCUGUUACUUAAUUAUAAAUUAGAUAGAACUGUGUCUUUUCUGCUUUGUCUUUUCAGUUUGCUGUUCCUGCAGCCGUAUUGUAUUCUGUGUCAAAUAAAAUCCAGUUGGAUUCUAGAA